AUAUAUUUAAUUGCAACUUUUAUUUAGAUCUACUAUUAUAGAAAACAACAAGUUUGAUAUUUUCCAAUUAUCUAGUAAACUUAACAAUAAGCUAUUAUUGAUUAUUUUGUGGUAUUCUAUCUUUAGUGAUAGAGAGAAGAAAUAAAUAUAUUAUGCUUCACUGAUAUCUUACGUAUUCUAAUAUAAAAUGAUAGACAUUAAAUAAUUUAAUAAUAUAAUAUGUUACAAUAGAAGAAAAUCAACAUUACAUUGGUAGUAAAAUAAGUAAUGACUACCAUAAACAUGCUUAAAACGUGCUAACAUAGAUGUAAAAUGUAUUAGAAGAAUUUAACACAAUAUCACAAUCAAUCAAAUACUUUCGGGAAAAUGUUUAAGCAAUAAAAUUAGAGUUUUAGAAUGUGCAGUAGAAUAUGAUUUACUGGAUAAAAUAUAUUAUAAAAAAGUAAAUAUAAUAUACUAAUAUUCAGCAGUAUUUCUUAAAUAAAAUGAAUAGCAUACUGUAACUUAUUAAAACAAUAAUGCUUCAAACCAAUUACGUUCAGAAAAAGAUAGAAGCAAUGUAAUGAGAUUUAAAAUAUAUUGUUAUAGCACGAAAGAAUCUUCAUAGGUAAGAUAACAAAUUAAUAAGUACAUAUAUUAUAAAUGUAUUUAAUAAUAUAUGAUAGAUAAAUAUGAAGAGCGUAUCACGAGACUCUUUUACAAUUGCCAUAUAAAUAAUAUAUUUUUGGAAAAUUUUAAGCAAUAAUCAAAGUUGUUGGUAAAUUGCGUAGUUAUUUCUCAGUCUGGACGCAAAACUGAGAUAGGACGCGUCUUUGUAAACGGAAAAGUUAACUUAUGAAAUAGUAAAUAAUGGAGAAGAAAGUGUUAGUUUACAAAAGAAAAAACGCAGAUAUUUUGAGCGACACAAACGUCAAAUGCAAAGUCAGAACAACAGAAUAUCGGCAAUUUUUAUUCUAUACAGGACUAACUAUUUUGCUUGAUUUAUUUGGAAAGCGAAUAAAGCAUUUUUUGAAACUGCACUACGCUAUACGAAUUUUAGUUUCUCUUAAUGAAAGGAUUUUGUUUCUCUUUAUUCUCUUGAUGAAUGAAAUUGAUAUGGCUAAAGAUAUACUACGGCAUUUUGUAUCCGAAAGCGUUGACAUAUACGGCAGAAGAUUUUUAUCGUAUAAUACGCAUAGUCUUUUGCAUUUGGCAAACAACGCUCGUAAUUUUGGACCAUUAAAUUAUUUUUCAUGUUUUCCAUUUGAAAAUAAUAUGACUUUUUUUCGAAAAAUAGCACAAAAACCUUCUCAAGAAUUACAAUAAAUAUAUAAAAAAUUUUAAUAAAGGAAAUGUAAACAAUCACGGUUAUCAGUGCAAAUUUCUUCUACAAAAAUCGCACAUGCAUUUAACGUGAAAAGGAAUAGCUCUUCGGACAGUCAUCCGACUAUUACUAAACAAUGUUCGAAGAUUAAAUAUCGAGGAUUUACAUAUGAUUUAAGUAAACGUAAUAAUUGUUGUAUUCCAUUUGUUAGUAACUUGUACAUAUUAAGAAAUAUACUGUAUGUAAACAACACAAAUACUUACCAUUUGAAAGUGCAGAAAUUUCAGGAAGUAGAUUCUUUAUAUAACGUUGAUGAUUUAGACCCUCGAAGAAUUGGAAUGUUUAAAUGUUCAAAGUUAUCCAAAGAUUCCAUAAUAAUUCCACUCGAAGAAAUAAAGUCUAAGGCUUUAAAAUGCUCUUUCGGCACAACAGUGAAAAAUUUUUUGAAGAAAAAAUUUAUGUAAUAGCACAAUUAUUCGAGGAAGAAUAGUUAUUAAAUUAGCACAAGAUAAAUUACAUUAAAUUCCAUUAAACUGAAUUGCUGUAAAAUUGUGUAUUUAAUUACAUCAUUAGUUUCUAUGUUAAGUAAAAUAUUUAAGUUGCUAAACAAAAAUGUUUACAAUAAUUGAUUAUUUUUAAACGUCCAAUAAUUAAUUUCAUAUGUUGAAAUAAGUUAAUUGCAUAAUUUAGCAUUUAUAGCAUUUAUAGCAUUUAUAUCAUUUAUGUUAAUAGCUUUUUCGACUGCAGUGGGUUUUAACCCAGGUUCGUUACCAUUUGUCGGAAUCGUUCAAUUAGAACGGACGAUCGUCCAUUCUAAUUGAACGAUUCCGGCAAACGGCAAUAAACCUGGGUUAAAAACCACUGCAGUCAAAAACGAUAUAAGAUUCAAAUUAUACAUAAUUCGUGCCUCGUAGCGCAUAGCGCUCUAGUAUAACAUCAUGUUUCAGUCUCGUGACAAAAAACAUUUGAUUCUUGAAACUCGUCGAGACAAGUCUUCAGUUCACUAGAUUUUCUUUCUUGUUGAGAAGUGCAUACAUAAUCGAAAUAAUGAAUAAUGAAAUUGUUGAAAACACAUGUGCCUCUCAAAUGGAUAACAUUGAUCUUCCGGAAAAAAAUAAUCUAUUAGCAACAUGUAAUACAGAUUGUGGAUAUAUCAACGAUAUUCAACAACAACAACAAUGCAGCGCUUUAUUAGUAGAGCCUACUGACGUCAUCAAGGUAUACAAUUACCUUUCAACGAUAGUGUUGUACAAGAAAUAGGCAAGAUAAAUAAGAAAAGAAAUGCUGCUAUUGAUGAUGAACUAUUGAAUGUAAAACAAAUGCGAAGAAAUGAUACCAAUAAUUCUUUAGAGAGACAAGAUGAAUCUGACGAAUCUACAACUGAUAUGAAGACGAUAAGAGAAUCUCUACGGUAUAUAUUUAACGAAAACGUUAAGUUAUUUUUACAUACAGGGUUGGGUAAACUUCCGAAAACGAUCAAAUAUCUCGAAAAAGAUCAACUAUAGCAAAAAAUAUUUUGAAAGCUGUUAUACUAACAAUUCUAUUGAAAAUACAUGGAAAUGUAACGAAUUACCGAAAUUGCCUUGCAUUCUACCAAUAACAUUUGAAGAUUUUACAAAAUUAGAACAAUAUCUUUACAAUGAAAACAAUUUAGGUUUUUUGUUUUUUCUAGGCAAAUUAUUUGUCAACAAUUGGAAGCUGUGGAGACAUUACAUCAAUAACAAAUAACAUACUUCAUAGCCUUUUAUCAAAUCAAAUUGCAUCGUUGUACAGUUUUUAUGGAAAGCGGAAUAAUAAAAGGUCCUUUGUGCUACUAAAGGUCAAUAGUGUGGUGAUUUCAUCAGUUCUUAAGGGACUACCCGGUUUUACGAACAUCAAGUACACGAAUGCAUUAAGGAUCUAAAAUUCUUCUAGGUCUAAUAAGAAAAGGAAGAUAUACAUGUGAAUCAUACUUCUAUUACUUCAUUUAUCCAACGGAGUCGAAAUUAGUAAGUUGAACUCAUAAUGGGAGAUAUAUCUAGCUAUUAUAUCUGAUUUAGUUGAAACAGUGCAGAUAACUUCCGUAACAUUAGCAAAGAUGUUAGAUAAGUGGAGAUAAGAGGAGCGAGAGAGAAGUAUGUCAGAGCAAUUCAUGUAACAGGCGAACUCGAUGGCCGUCAUUCCUGUCGAAUCACUGAAGCCAACGGAAGCGAAUUCUCCGGUGGCUGAUGUAACAUCGUGGAGACCCACUGACACGCAUCAAACGAUAAUGCUUAUCCUGAGACAGAUUAUGCGGAGAAAUGUUUUUUCAAUUUAAAUUCCUGCUUUGCGACACAGGAAGUUGCAAUCUUCUAAAUUCGUAAGACUUCCACGAAAAUAACGUCACCAAAGAAGUAUCGCAUACAGACACAAAACUAAUUAUGUGGACACAGAAUUGUUGCACGUUUAUUUUAUGCUACUCACUGAAUAUUUUAUAUUAUAUUCAUUAAAUAUUUACGUUAUUUUAUGCGAAUUCACUAAAUAUGUAUUAUAAUUUUUAAGAAUAACUCUCGAGUGAAAGUGAUAACCUUUACCAGUGAUACAUUUCCGUCUCUCAAAAGCAAACUUGUAUUGAAACUAAAAACAUUCAAAUCACAUUUAAUAGUAUUUAAUCGCAAAUUUUAUGAGAAAGUAGCAUUAAAUAAAAUUUUUUACGCUAAUACUAAUAA